rnacentral:rRNA from 1 species
CAGCCGCCGCGGUAAUCCGGAGGGGGCUAGCGUUGUUCGGAAUUACUGGGCGUAAAGCGCACGUAGGCGGCUUUGUAAGUUAGAGGUGAAAGCCUGGGGCUCAACCCCAGAAUUGCCUUUGAUACUGUUUGUCUUGAGUUCGAGAGAGGUAAGUGGAACUGCGAGUGUAGAGGUGAAAUUCGUAGAUAUCGGAAGGAACACCUGUGGCGAAAGCGGCUCACUGGACCAUUUCUGACGCUGAUGCACGAAAGCUAGGGGAGCAAACAGGAUUAGAUACCCGCGUAGUCCCUGUCUCUUAUAC